rnacentral:rRNA from 1 species
AGAGUUUGAUCCUGGCUCAGAUUGAACGCUGGCGGCAUGCCUUACACAUGCAAGUCGAACGGCAGCACGGGAGCAAUCCUGGUGGCGAGUGGCAAACGGGUGAGUAAUACAUCGGAACGUGCCCAGUAGUGGGGGAUAGCCCGGCGAAAGCCGGAUUAAUACCGCAUACGACCUAAGGGUGAAAGCGGGGGAUCGCAAGACCUCGCGCUAUUGGAGCGGCCGAUGUCAGAUUAGCUAGUUGGUGGGGUAAAGGCCUACCAAGGCGACGAUCUGUAGCUGGUCUGAGAGGACGACCAGCCACACUGGGACUGAGACACGGCCCAGACUCCUACGGGAGGCAGCAGUGGGGAAUUUUGGACAAUGGGCGCAAGCCUGAUCCAGCCAUGCCGCGUGCGGGAAGAAGGCCUUCGGGUUGUAAACCGCUUUUGUCAGGGAAGAAACGCUUCGAGCUAAUACCUUGGAGUAAUGACGGUACCUGAAGAAUAAGCACCGGCUAACUAGUGCCAGCAGCCGCGGUAAUAC